UGAGAUAUACAACGAUCUUUAUCAUUAUAUCAUUGAAACUCUUUUCAAUGGGUCAGAAUAAUUUUACUUUAACUCAGUAAGGAUUAUCGAUUGAUAAGUGAUAUAUUUUUAUAUUUAUUAUAGGUAUUUUUGAUAAUUUAUGAUGCUAACAUUUUCUUAAAAACCUUAAUUUAUUGAAUUUAUUGAAAUUUUUUUUAAAAAUAAGUAAUU
rnacentral:lncRNA from 1 species